GAUGAAGAACGUAGCGAAAUGCGAUACGUAAUGUGAAUUGCAGAAUUCAGUGAACCAUCGAAUCUUUGAACGCACAUUGCGCCCGCUGGAACUCCGGCGGGCACGCCUGUCCGAGCGUCAUUUCAACCCUCAGGCCCCCCUUCGCGGGCGGGCCUGGUGUUGGGGCCCGGCCGCUACCCUGCGGCCGUCCCCUAAAUUCAGUGGCGGCCUCGCCGUGAUCCCUUGCGUAGUAAUGCACCUCGCACCGGAGAGCGCCGUGGCCACGCCGUAAAACCCCCAAUUUUCAAUGGUUGACCUCGGAUCAGGUGAGAAUACCCGCUGAACUUAAGCAUAUCAAUAAGCGGAGGA
rnacentral:misc_RNA from 1 species